CUUUAUUAUUAUUAUUAUUUUUGGAUAAUGUUUAAAUUGUUUGUACAGAUGCUUGUACAGGUGGGAUAUGGUGUGAUCACAAAUGGGAACUCAGUAAGCAUAGAACAUUUUACAGAAACCUGGGUCAUAGUCUUAACUUAUCUCCAGAGCUCCCCCUUUGUGUUGCAGCAAUCAGUUUUGCAUUCCCCUCACCUGCCAAACCAAUUAUGCACUGAAUAACCAACAGGUGCCGCAGAUUGCAUAUCAGAAAGAGCUUAUUUAUUCAGGGCAGCCUGCUUUAACAGCUUCCUAAGAAAAACAGCAUUUAUGUUUGCUUGUGUGUGUGGAGAACUGUUGGGGUUUUUUUUGUUCCUUACCAGUACCACAUGGUGCACCUGUAUAGUGUUGUAGUGACUGAGAAUGUAAGACAGGCUGUACAGGUCCACAGGAGUGUGUGCAGUGUUGGGAAGGGUACAGUUGUACCUAUAGGUGCUUGAAGUGCCAGUACCAGGUGUCCAUGUUUCAGCUGCAGAACCAUGGGAUGUAGGCAAGGUGCAGCAGAGGUGGGCUUUGCAACACCGACUCCAGUGUACACAUCACCACACAAAAGUGUUCCCCAGAGGAUACUGCCAGACUCAGGUGAAGUGCACUUUCCUGGUCUGCAGUGUGUAUGUGACCACUGAGAUGGAAACAGCCCAGCUUCCCGUAACUGUUCAUGC
ensembl:lncRNA